GUGAAUCAUCAAAUUUUUGAACGCAAAUUGCACUCUCUUUGGAGAGUAAGCCUGUUUGAGGGUCAGGAAUAAUAAAAACGGGGUGUGGCUCGGUUGUGACAUAACGGAGUUUGGGCUACCUUUGACUUUCGGGUUUUAAGAGGCUUAAAAUUGAGCUUUUUUGCGCACUUUUAGACGUACAUAAAUUUAUUUUAUCGUCCAUUCUGGUGCCAAUUAUCUAUUAGGUUCGAUCAUGUUUAUAUGAUCUCGUGCUCUUUCUUCACAUCUUUUGAACUCAAAUC
rnacentral:misc_RNA from 1 species